rnacentral:misc_RNA from 1 species
UUUCCGUAGGUGAACCUGCGGAAGGAUCAUUAUUGUAUAACCGAGGUGCGAGGGCUGUCGCUGACCCGAAAGGCGGUGCACGCCCGAGUGCCCUCACACACACCCAUCUCACACCUUUGUGCACCACCGCGGGGGUCCCCCUUUGGCUCGUUCGGAGGGGGGCUUACGUGUUCACACAUACUUUGUAUGCAGUCUAGAAUGUAUUUUUUGUUUUUGCGAUCACGCAAUCAAUACAACUUUCAACAACGGAUCUCUUGGCUCUC